CUCUCUCUCUCUAAAGGCCACCCUUCUCUUUUUUUGCCCUUUCCUGUUUAAUUUAAGCAACCCAGACCCAUUUGUUGUCAAUAAACUCAUCACCUACAACAGCAUCAUAGACUAGCUCCAUCUAUCAUUUGCUUUGUCUCAAAAUCUCUCACGAUGAUUCUUUUGUUUUGAGAAAAGUUGAUGAUUGAAAUAGAGGCACGCAUAUAGAGCAGAAGCGCAGACAAUAUAAUGAGAUGGAAGAGAAGAGAGGAAACAAGAACAGAAGAUACUGAUAUAUGAGAGUGAUAUAUCAAGUGUUCAUGGAUGAAUAAGGAUACCCAUUUGACUUUUUGAUGAUUUGCAUGCCAUGGCUUAUCCACAUUAUCGAUCUCAAUUUGGAGAUACAACGUUCACUAAAGUGUUCGUUGGGGGCUUAGCUUGGGAGACCCCUACUGAAGAAAUGCGUAGAUACUUUGAGCAGUUUGGAGAAAUUCUUGAA
rnacentral:misc_RNA from 1 species